rnacentral:misc_RNA from 1 species
UCUCCGUUGGUGAACCAGCGGAGGGAUCAUUACAGGACUCGCAAGACUCCUACAACCCUGUGAACUUAACUAUAAGCACGUUGCUUCGGCGGGUGUCUCGGAGGGGGUUCUCCCUCCCCGAGACGCUAAACCCGCCGGCAGCCUACUAUACUCUGUCUCUUUGCGUUGGCAUCUCGAGUACAAUCAAACAAGUUAAAACUUUCAACAACGGAUCUCUUGGUUCUGGCAUCGAUGAAGAAAGCAGC